UACGUAGGGUGCGAGCGUUGUCCGGAAUUACUGGGCGUAAAGAGCUCGUAGGUGGUUUGUCGCGUUGUUCGUGAAAACUCACAGCUUAACUGUGGGCGUGCGGGCGAUACGGGCAGACUGGAGUACUGCAGGGGAGACUGGAAUUCCUGGUGUAGCGGUGGAAUGCGCAGAUAUCAGGAGGAACACCGGUGGCGAAGGCGGGUCUCUGGGCAGUAACUGACGCUGGAGGCACGGAAAAGCGUGGGGAGCAAACAGG
rnacentral:rRNA from 1 species